GCCUUCGUGAUGAAAAGGUAGACAUAUCGACUUCAAAAGUCGACGCUAUUAGCAUAUCGGUUCGAAUCCGAUCGAGGGCA
rnacentral:tRNA from 1 species